rnacentral:rRNA from 1 species
GACGAACGCUGGCGGCGUGCCUAAUACAUGCAAGUAGAACGCUGAAGCUUGGUGCUUGCCCCGAGCGGAUGAGUUGCGAACGGGUGAGUAACGCGUAGGUAACCUGCCUGGUAGCGGGGGAUAACUAUUGGAAACGAUAGCUAAUACCGCAUAAGAGUAGAUGUUGCAUGACAUUUGCUUAAAAGGUGCAAUUGCAUCACUACCAGAUGGACCUGCGUUGUAUUAGCUAGUUGGUGAGGUAACGGCUCACCAAGGCAACGAUACAUAGCCGACCUGAGAGGGUGAUCGGCCACACUGGGACUGAGACACGGCCCAGACUCCUACGGGAGGCAGCAGUAGGGAAUCUUCGGCAAUGGACGGAAGUCUGACCGAGCAACGCCGCGUGAGUGAAGAAGGUUUUCGGAUCGUAAAGCUCUGUUGUAAGAGAAGAACGAGUGUGAGAGUGGAAAGUUCACACUGUGACGGUAUCUUACCAGAAAGGGACGGCUAACUACGU